rnacentral:rRNA from 1 species
GACGAACGCUGGCGGCGUGCUUAACACAUGCAAGUCGAACGGAAAGGCCCCUUUGGGGGUACUCGAGUGGCGAACGGGUGAGUAACACGUGAGUAACCUGCCCUUGACUUCGGGAUAACUUCAGGAAACUGGGGCUAAUACCGGAUAGGAAUCCUUGCUGCAUGGUGGGGGUUGGAAAGCUUCAGCGGUUUUGGAUGGACUCGCGGCUUAUCAGCUUGUUGGUGGGGUAGUGGCUUACCAAGGCUUUGACGGGUAGCCGGCCUGAGAGGGCGACCGGCCACAUUGGGACUGAGAUACGGCCCAGACUCCUUCGGGAGGCAGCAGUGGGGAAUAUUGCACAAUGGGCGGAAGCCUGAUGCAGCAACGCCGCGUGCGGGAUGACGGCCUUCGGGUUGUAAACCGCUUUCAGCAGGGGCGAAGCUUGUGGUGACGGUACCUGCAGAAGAAGCACCGGCUAACUACGUG